CAAGUCGGGCGAGAACCAGGGCUUCGGCCCUGGGGAAAGCGGCGAACGGGUGAGUAACACGUGAGUAAUCCACCCUCGGUACCGGGAUAGCCCGGGGAAACCCGGAUUAAUACCGGAUGGCCCGACAGCCUUUCGAGGCGGUCGGAAAAGGUAGCUUCGGCCUCCGACCGAGGACGAGCUCGCGGCGGAUUAGCUUGUUGGCGGGGUAACGGCCCACCAAGGCGACGAUCCGUAGCUGGUCUGAGAGGACGAUCAGCCACACUGGGACUGAGACACGGCCCAGACUCCUACGGGAGGCAGCAGUGGGGAAUCUUGCGCAAUGGGCGAAAGCCUGACGCAGCGACGCCGCGUGCGGGAAGAAGGCCUUCGGGUUGUAAACCGCUUUCAGGAGGGACGAAGCCACUCGGGUUAAUAGCCCAGAGGGUGACGGUACCUCCAGAAGAAGCCCCGGCUAACUACGUGCCAGCAGCCGCGGUAAUACGUAGGGGGCAAGCGUUGUCCGGAUUUAUUGGGCGUAAAGAGCGUGUAGGCGGCCAUGCAGGUCCGUUGUGAAAACUGGAGGCUUAACCUCCAGACGUCGAUGGAAACCGUAUGGCUAGAGUCCGGAAGAGGAGAGUGGAAUUCCUGGUGUAGCGGUGAAAUGCGCAGAUAUCAGGAAGAACACCCGUGGCGAAGGCGGCUCUCUGGGACGGUACUGACGCUGAGACGCGAAAGCGUGGGGAGCGAACAGGAUUAGAUACCCUGGUAGUCCACGCCGUAAACGAUGGGUGCUAGGUGUGGGGGGGUGUCGACUCCUUCCGUGCCGCA
rnacentral:rRNA from 1 species